GCUGAGGAAGCGACGCUCUCCAUCCCCCAACACCCAACCGGUCCAGUCCGUGGAAGAAAAAACGUCUUCCAGAAAACCAGUCCCUGGUGUCAAAAAGGAUCUAAAACUUUGAUGUCAGGCUCUGCAAUCUGGGGAAAUCAAGUAAACCCAAGGAAGUCACCUGGGAGGCUUCCAGGAAAGAAUCUCCUCUCUGAUGCAAAGAGACCUAUAUGGAGAAACUCUUCCUUCUUGAAGCAGUAACAGGAGGGCCUGACACCCAGUGUGGUAGCCAUCCUGCAAGCAGGAGGACACCAGCCUCUGGAUGAAAGUCCGUGUGAUGAGGACAGCAGAAUGAUAAAAAUGAUAAGAUACAGCAAAAUACACAGGGAUGGAAGAACGGAAGGAGGGAGACAGGCAAGCAGCAGACAACUGGAAAGCACUGAAAGGCAUAUUCUGGAGGAAAGUCAACUCUUGGGGAAUAAAAAAGAUGAUACUGGUUCUGGAAGCUGGGAAGUCCAAAAUCAAGGGGCUGGCAUCUGGUAGGGGCCUUCCUGCUGCAUCAUCCCAUGGUGGAAGGUAAGAGGGCAAGGGGGCGGUGGAAACAAACUCAUCCUUUUAUAAGAACCCACUCCUGCAGUAACAAGCCCACUCCCACAGUAAUGACACUAACCUAUUCAUGAUGGCAGAGCCCUCAUGGUCUAAUCAUCUCUCAGUAGGCUGCACCUCCUAAUAUUGUUGCACUGUUGUGGAUUACAUUUCCAACACAUGCUUUCUGGGGGAAGACAUUCAAACCAUAGCAGAUUAUAAGACUCAGUAUUACUAAGAUGUCAAAUCUUUCCAAAAUUGUACUUUCAAUGUAACCCCAAUCAUAAUCUUACCAGGGUUUUGGGUUUUGUUGUUGUUGUUGUUGUUGUUGACACACUGCUUCUAGAUUUUAUGUAGAAAUGCAAAGGAUCUAGAAUACCAAAUGCAAUCUUGAAAAAGAAUUACAAAAUUGAAAGAGAGAUAACUUGACUCAAGAUCAUUAUAAAGCUAUAGCAUAAAGUGUGAUUAUAGCAUAAAAAAUCAUAUAGUGUGAUUAUAGCAUAAAAAUCAACAAAUCAACCAUUGGAGCAAAACAGAGAACCUAGUCUUAGAUACACACUUUCUUGGUAGCUUUUUGACAAGGGCACCAAAGCAAAUUCUUGGGGAGACUUUCAACAAUUGGUGCUGCAAUAACUAAUAUCCAUAUGGAAAAAAUGGAUCUAGAAUCCUAUUUUACAGCCUACACACAAGAAAAUAAUCCAAGAUGAUUCACGGACCUAAACAUAAAAGCUAAAAUUAUAAAGCUCUUAGAGGAAAACAUAACAAUAAUGAUUUUCUGGCCUGGGAUGGGGAGGUGGGAAAGAAGAGAAAGGUUUCUUAGGUAACCUACACAAAAAGAAAACAAUUCUGCCUUUCCAAGAAUGUGUAGUAUAUAAUGAACAUGUAUUAUAAUAAAAAGUUAAAUUUAAUACCCCUUAGCUAUCCCAUACUUUAGUCUCAGUUAAAAAAAAAAAAAAAAAAAAAAGCUAAUGUAAACUUAAUCUAAUAGAAACUUCCAGGACCCAUUACUUACUGGGAAAUAUGAAUUGGACCAUACACAAACUUUGCCUCCAUUUUGUAAAUAUUUAUUUACAGGCAGGAAGCAACAUUAUGCGAAGAAUUAGAUAUUCCAUUGAAAUGGUCUCUUAAGUCUCUUCCACCCUAAAGCUUUUUGUUACCAGUUUCUUCUCCUGUAACUUACCAAGAGGUUGUUCUUCAGAUUCUGCAAAUGGUUACACUGUGAAAUAAAAAAUUUGCUGAAUUUAAAACGAUUUUCCCUCCCAAACCCAGAUUAACUAAGUAUGAAACAUUAACUGGUUAAUUCCACAUGGUUCCAAAUUUGAUGUGAUUGAAUUAGCUAAGAAAGAUCACACCUAAAUCAAAUGAUUUACACAGAAACUAACCUGAGGUACUUUAAAGAUGACUUCAGAUUACUUGACAUUCUUCUUAUCAAUUCACAGUGAGCUCUGCGUCCUCUCCACUUGAAUCUGAGCAGGCUCUGUGAUUGCUUGAUCAAAAGAGUAUGACGAAAGUGAUGUUGUGACAGUUUCUGGGCCCAGGCCUCAAAGAACUGGCAGUUUCCACUUCCUGUCUGACAGAACCCAGCUGCCAUACUAUGAGGAAGCCCAGGAAGAAAGUCCUAUGUGGAAGAACUGAGACCCAUGGCUGAAUUUGAAGCCAACAGCCAGCCACUACUUUAGCAGCCACGAGUGAGCCAUGUUGGAAAUGAAUCCUCCUGCCCCUCUUGAGACACCCCACUUGACACCUGAGAUCAGGGACAAGAUGUUUUGGCCAAGUCCUUCCCAAACUACAGAUUUGUGAUCAGAAUAAAUAACUCUUAUAAGCCACUAGCUUUUGGAGUGGUUUGUUACACAAUAAUAGAGAAUUGUACCAUUCCCAAAUACUACAUAUCCUUAAUCAUAAACUGAUUUCUCAAAAGGAAAGCCUGAACCAUACCAACCCCACCACCUCAAAGCUAAGUCAAUCAAAUCUAAUAUUUGUAUGAUUCAAAAGGUCACGGAGGUCAGAACAAACAAAAACAGCCAGGCGCUGAAAACUCUUCACUGCUUCUUUAUUGUGAUGCACCCACAGUACAGAACCUCUCACACAUCUGUGAAAGGGGAAGGUUACAUUUCUUUUUUGGGAGCACCUUC